AACGCCUGUCGGCAGAUCUCUCCCAUCCCCUGGAGCAGAUCUCGGAGCGGAAACUCCUCCCCAAGUUUCCGUUCCCUGGCCCCGCCGACCUCCCCCUGGUCUGCGGGGCUUUUUA
rfam:Xanthomonas campestris pv. campestris str. ATCC 33913, complete genome.